AUGCUAUGAUUAUGACACUUCUGAAGUACUUUAUUGAAUCUAUUCCAUGCCUAAUCGAAGGAUUCGAUUUCUUUCUGUCAAAAUUUGGAUAUGUCAUACUUCAACUU
rnacentral:snoRNA from 1 species